rnacentral:rRNA from 1 species
GACGUAGGGAGCGAGCGUUGUCCGGAUUCAUUGGGCGUAAAGCGCGCGUAGGCGGUUUGGUAAGUCGGAUGUGAAAACACGAGGCUCAACCUCGUGCCUGCAUCCGAUACUGCCCGACUAGAGGUAGGUAGGGGAGAUCGGAAUUCCUGGUGUAGCGGUGAAAUGCGCAGAUAUCAGGAGGAACACCGGUGGCGAAGGCGGAUCUCUGGGCCUUACCUGACGCUGAGGCGCGAAAGCUAGGGGAGCGAACAGG